UGAUCUUUUUCGUGACAGCAGAAUCACCUGAACUGGGUUGCUUACAGCUCAAAAUAGAAUUUGCUUGGGAAAUAAGAAUGCAAUGAUCUCUUAAUCUUCAAGUGUGGUUCAAAAGUUUUGGCGGGGAAGGCACUAAAAGAAUAUGGCUGUGUUCCAGGAAUGAAAAAGAAGUAUUGUCACGGUGAAAAUAAAGUGAUGACCAAUGAAUAAAAAGAAGAUCAAGAUGUCUCAGAAACUGUUGGCCAAAUGCAAUGCAAUAAGGAUUGUUUCAUUAUGAAAGAUGAUGGGGCAAUGGACAUAAGGCAGGGUGGGCAGAAAUUCUGCCAUCUGGCAUGGGUUGUGAAACCAUGGUUUGGGCAUCACCACAUUUUGGAAAGAAGGCUGUUGGACUCUCUUUAAGACCUCAAGACUAUCAUACUGGUAGAUAAGAACAAGUUACCAUAGUUAAAGUCAGCCCACUGCCAGCUGAGGCCUGACACUGACCAUUGCUUCCAAAGCUAAAGGAAGAACGGAAACUUUCCCUUGGGAACCAAUACCAUUUACUAUAGUCAGGAAAGAGCUUCAUUUGCUAUCCAUGUACAUGCCUUGCAGAAACAAAGAUGCCUUCAUCUCAAAAAAUAAAGAGAAGAAAAACAGAUGAGGAAAUAAAAUCUUAGCUCAUGACCAGAUUACUUCCUGCAGGAAUGUGCAUUCUUAUUUUGAUUCUGAUACCUAUCACUGUAGAAGAUAUCUUUGUUCUACUUUGUAGUAUUUUACCAAAAAGGAAUAGUGUUCCUUAUAACCAUGAUGAUUUAAGGACAUGAAUGAGGCAAGGGAGAGGACAUGUCUUUUAUUAGGUCAACUAAUAUACUGAGAAAAAGAUUAUGUUUGGAAUUUGGCACCUUUGAUAAGGGGAUGCCAAGCCCAAAAGCGUGUCCAUUUUAUCCAACUACAUCACUUCACCUAACAAAAGACACACCUUCCUCCAAAAUACUGGCAUCUUUUAAGUUCUGCUUAUAUGUUUUUUGUGUCUGUAUCUAAUUCUAGAGGUUGCUGUUAAACCACUGAUGGUUCUUCAUGCUUCUCUUAAUUUCAGUCAUUCCUUUAUACUUGCUGAACUGCUUGGGUUUUACUCCAUAAUAAAAAUAUCAUCCAUACCUGGCAGACAUCUCCUUAGAAGACUGCAGUUUUGAGUAUAAGCUAUCUAGCUGAAGUGUACUUUGAUAAUACUGAAUGGUCUGUUAUGUGUAAAUAGUUUGCUUUAUAUUAAUUAAUUUUCAUUAUUGCUAUCUUAAUUUAGCACUCAGGAGCUGUGAUUAUUUCUACCUGCAUUCCAGCUCAAAUCAUCACCAAAAAAGUUAUGUUUUUAGAACCUUUCAUCAUGGAGUGAAUAGACGUAACCUAUCGUUACUGUGGCAAUGUAUGGAGCUUUAAAGCUAGAUAAAGGGAGCUAGUGAAAGAAUUACUAAUU